rnacentral:lncRNA from 1 species
AAAGUGGCAGAAGCUUUUUCUCAUCUAUUUCCAGGUUGCUGCCAGGGUAUGACCUCUCACCGCCUGGCAGAAAUCCCUAACGAGGGCUGAAUUGGCUAUGUCUCAUUCUGAUGAAUAAUGGGUCUCGUCACCCCUCAGUGCCCUCCAGAUUUACUCACAGGUCCCCGGGGACGUCGCCAGCAAAUAAAUCCCCUGACCUGCUGCAGGAUCCUUUCCCCCCGCCGAGGCCCUUCCCGGGGCUCCCCGCCAAUUUCUUAGCUGGGCUGCCUCAGCCUCAACCAAUCUGGAUGCCAAACCCAAAAUACCCUCAGUCCGCCAGAUGCGUAUCUCCACCAGCCAGAUUUCUAGAUGCCGUGGUCUAUCGUUGGCAGAGCUGCUAUCCUCUACAAGAAGACGGAUGAGAAAGUAACAUGCUUCUGGCAGCGUGUUAUCAAUUGGGAGGCAACAGUGCAUUCGCUCUAUGUGGAACAGUGAGCUGGAACCGACACUGACAGAUGACACGGCCCUUUGACAGUGACGCCUGUAUGAGCUGACAGCUCCACUUGCAGUCAGUCAAGUCCACGCUUUGCUGUGGAAUUUUAACGGGCUUGAUUUGCA